rnacentral:lncRNA from 1 species
AUCAACGAAAAAUAAUAACUUUGGGAAGAAAUUGUAAAUUAUAACCUUAACAAAAAUCCUUAUUUGUUUCCCACCUGCGUACAAACAACACAUCAUUCCUGCAUCAUAUCUUCAAAUUUAUGGCCUCAUGGGUCAAUAUUCCUUAUUCACGAGAUACAAUCAUAUAGACAUAAGCAAAAAUCUUUCCAAAUCAUUCAAUGCUUGGAAGAGAGCUCACGUGCCGUGAGUGGUUUGUCUCCCUUGUUCAUCACCAAGCGGCCAUGAAGAUGGUUCUUACAACCAUCCACGAUCCACCACGAUCAUAUUCUUGUUGAUUGAUCUUCACACAUAUUGAAUCCUCUUUGACGCAAGGUUGAUGGAGUUGUGACAUAUCUUCCGAUCCAUAUUU